AUACGGAGGAUCCGAGCGUUAUCCGGAUUUAUUGGGUUUAAAGGGAGCGUAGGCGGACGCUUAAGUCAGUUGUGAAAGUUUGCGGCUCAACCGUAAAAUUGCAGUUGAAACUGGCAGUCUUGAGUACAGUAGAGGUGGGCGGAAUUCGGGGUGUAGCGGAGAAAUGCUUAGAUAUCACGAAGAACUCCGAUUGCGAAGGCAGCUCACUAGACUGUUACUGACACUGAUGCUCGAAAGUGUGGGUAUCAAACAGGAUUAGAUACCCUGGUAGUCCACACAGUAAACGAUGAAUACUCGCUGUUUGCGAUAUACAGUAAGCGGCCAAGCGAAAGCAUUAAGUAUUCCACCUGGGGAGUACGACCGCAAGGUUGAAACUCAAAUGAAUCGGCGGGG
rnacentral:rRNA from 1 species